AAGGUUUCCGUAGGUGAACCUGCGGAAGGAUCAUUGAUAAGGUAUGGAAAUGUUUUGACCGUGUAUGUGUGCGAAAGUAAUCCUCGACGUCCAAGCAGAUGUCGGUUGCUAUUUUCUUUUGAUGCUCGAUGAGGCUUAGUGUUGACAUCGUGACAUGCGAAAGAUCGAUUGAGUGCAAAAUUGCGCCAAGGACAACGUGUUUUAGGGUGGCAAAUCGUUCACUUGGUUUCGAUUGCUGCCCUACUGUAGUGCUUAAGGUGCACACUGUGGAAUGACUCACGGCAACGGAUAUCUUGGUUCUCGCAUCGAUGAAGAACGUAGCGAAAUGCGAUACGUGAUGUGAAUUGCAGAAUCCCGUGAACCAUCGAAUCUUUGAACGCAUGUUGCGCCUGAAGUGUUUUCACUUUUGGCACGUCUGUCUGGGUGUUGCAAAUCUCGUCGUUCCUAUCACCUGGUUGGGGAAGGAAUGGAGAUUGGCCUUCCGUUGGGAGAUCCUCGGGUGGCUUCAUUGUCUGAUGCCCAAUGUUGUCACACUUAACGUGUGUUGGUUGUUGGUCUAUCUGACUUCUUGCUGCGUUGUGUUGCUUUGAAUCUUUGGGUUCCCUAAAUUAUUGUAGCAUUAGGUGGUGUUGCCUGUGUGAAUCGCCCCAGGUCAGGUGAGAUCACCCGACGAAUUUAAGCAUAUCA
rnacentral:rRNA from 1 species